GUGCUUGCUUCAGCAGCACAUAUACUAAAAUUGGAAUGAUACAAAGAAGAUUAGCAUGACCCCUGCUCAAGGAUGACACGCAAAUUCAUAAAGCAUUCCAUUUUUUU
ensembl:snRNA U6 U6 spliceosomal RNA